GGUUUGAUCCUGGCUCAGAUUGAACGCUGGCGGCAGGCCUAACACAUGCAAGUCGAGCGGAUGAAAGGGAGCUUGCUCCUGGAUUCAGCGGCGGACGGGUGAGUAAUGCCUAGGAAUCUGCCUGGUAGUGGGGGAUAACGUCCGGAAACGGGCGCUAAUACCGCAUACGUCCUGAGGGAGAAAGUGGGGGAUCUUCGGACCUCACGCUAUCAGAUGAGCCUAGGUCGGAUUAGCUAGUUGGUGGGGUAAAGGCCUACCAAGGCGACGAUCCGUAACUGGUCUGAGAGGAUGAUCAGUCACACUGGAACUGAGACACGGUCCAGACUCCUACGGGAGGCAGCAGUGGGGAAUAUUGGACAAUGGGCGAAAGCCUGAUCCAGCCAUGCCGCGUGUGUGAAGAAGGUCUUCGGAUUGUAAAGCACUUUAAGUUGGGAGGAAGGGCAGUAAGUUAAUACCUUGCUGUUUUGACGUUACCAACAGAAUAAGCACCGGCUAACUUCGUGCCAGCAGCCGCGGUAAUACGAAGGGUGCAAGCGUUAAUCGGAAUUACUGGGCGUAAAGCGCGCGUAGGUGGUUCAGCAAGUUGGAUGUGAAAUCCCCGGGCUCAACCUGGGAAUUGCAUCCAAAACUACUGAGCUAGAGUACGGUAGAGGGUGGUGGAAUUUCCUGUGUAGCGGUGAAAUGCGUAGAUAUAGGAAGGAACACCAGUGGCGAAGGCGACCACCUGGACUGAUACUGACACUGAGGUGCGAAAGCGUGGGGAGCAAACAGGAUUAGAUACCCUGGUAGUCCACGC
rnacentral:rRNA from 1 species